UACGAAGGGUGCAAGCGUUACUCGAAAUCACUGGGCGUAAAGCGUGCGUAGGCGGUUCGUUAAGUCUGCUGUGAAAGCCCUGGGCUCAACCUGGGAACUGCAGUGGAUACUGGCGGACUAGAGUGUGAUAGAGGAUGGUGGAAUUCCCGGUGUAGCGGUGAAAUGCGUAGAGAUCGGGGAGGAACACCAGUGGCGAAGGCGGCCAUCUGGAUCAACACUGACGCUGAGGCACGAAAGCGUGGGGAGCAAACAGG
rnacentral:rRNA from 1 species